AGCGAACGCUGGCGGCAGGCUUAAUACAUGCAAGUCGAGGGGCAGCACGGUUAGCAAUAACUGGUGGCGACCGGCGCACGGGUGCGUAACACGUAUACAAUCUACCUUAAACAGGGGAUAGCCUUUCGAAAGAGAGAUUAAUACCCCGUAAUAAAUUGAACGGCAUCGUUUGAUUUUGAAAGCUCCGGCGGUUUGAGAUGAGUAUGCGUCUGAUUAGCUAGUUGGUGAGGUAACGGCUCACCAAGGCGACGAUCAGUAGGGGAUCUGAGAGGACUAACUCCCACACUGGUACUGAGACACGGACCAGACUCCUACGGGAGGCAGCAGUAAGGAAUAUUGGUCAAUGGAGGCAACUCUGAACCAGCCAUGCCGCGUGCAGGAUGACGGCCCUAUGGGUUGUAAACUGCUUUAUACUAAGAGAAAACCCUGGUACGUGUACCAGGUUGAUAGUAUUGUAAGAAUAAGACAUCGGCUAACUUCGUGCCAGCAGCCGCGGUAAU
rnacentral:rRNA from 1 species